ACGGAGGGUGCGAGCGUUAAUCGGAAUUACUGGGCGUAAAGGGCGCGUAGGCGGCUCGAUAAGUUGGAUGUGAAAGCCCCGGGCUCAACCUGGGAAUUGCGUUCAAUACUGUCGGGCUAGAGUGUGGUAGAGGGAAGUGGAAUUCCCGGUGUAGCGGUGAAAUGCGUAGAGAUCGGGAGGAACACCAGUGGCGAAGGCGGCUUCCUGGAUCAACACUGACGCUGAGGCGCGAAAGCGUGGGGAGCAAACAGG
rnacentral:rRNA from 1 species